rnacentral:rRNA from 1 species
CCUACGGGCGGCAGCAGUGGGGAAUAUUGGGCAAUGGGCGCAAGCCUGACCCAGCAACGCCGCGUGAAGGAAGAAGGCUUUCGGGUUGUAAACUUCUUUUCUCAGGGACGAAGAAAGCGACGGUACCUGAGGAAUAAGCCACGGCUAACUACGUGCCAGCAGCCGCGGUAAUACGGAGGGGGCAAGCGUUAUCCGGAUUUACUGGGUGUAAGGGGCGGGUAGGCGGGGAAGCAAGUCAGAUGUGAAAACCACGGGCUCAACCUGUGGCCUGCAUUUGAAACUGUGUUUCUUGAGUACUGGAGAGGCAGACGGAAUUCCUAGUGUAGCGGUGAAAUGCGUAGAUAUUAGGAGGAACACCAGUGGCGAAGGCGGUCUGCUGGACAGCAACUGACGCUGAGGCGCGAAAGCGUGGGGAGCAAACAGGAUUAGAUACCCCAGUAGUC